GACAGAGGGGGCAAGCGUUGCUCGGAAUUACUGGGCGUAAAGGGCGCGUAGGCGGUUUGUCGCGUCUGCUGUGAAAACCCGAGGCUCAACCUCGGGCCUGCAGUGGGUACGGGCAGACUAGAGUGCGGUAGGGGAGAUUGGAAUUCCUGGUGUAGCGGUGGAAUGCGCAGAUAUCAGGAGGAACACCGAUGGCGAAGGCAGAUCUCUGGGCCGUAACUGACGCUGAGGAGCGAAAGCGUGGGGAGCGAACAGG
rnacentral:rRNA from 1 species